AUUGAACGCUGGCGGCAGGCCUAACACAUGCAAGUCGAACGAGUGGCGGACGGGUGAGUAAUGUCUGGGAAACUGCCUGAUGGAGGGGGAUAACUACUGGAAACGGUAGCUAAUACCGCAUACCAUCAGAUGUGCCCAGAUGGGAUUGGCUAGUUGGUGGGGUAACGGCUCACCAAGGGGACGAUCCCUAGCUGGUCUGAGAGGAUGACAGCCCACAUGGGAACUGGAACACGGUCCAGAGUCCAAGAGGAGGCAGAAGUGGGGAAUAUUGCACAAAGGGCGCAAGCUUGAUGCAGCCAUGCAGGGUGUAUGAAGAGGGCCUGAGGGUGGUAAGGUACUUUAGGGGGGGAGGCGUUACCCGAAGAAGAGGCACCGGCUAACACCGUGCCAGCAGCGGGGGUAUUC
rnacentral:rRNA from 1 species